CCUACGGGUGGCAGCAGUGGGGAAUAUUGGACAAUGGGCGAAAGCCUGAUCCAGCCAUGCCGCGUGUGUGAAGAAGGCCUUCGGGUUGUAAAGCACUUUCAGUGGGGAAGAAAGCCUUGGGGCUAAUACCCUGGAGGAAGGACAUCACCCACAGAAGAAGCACCGGCUAACUCCGUGCCAGCAGCCGCGGUAAUACGGAGGGUGCGAGCGUUAAUCGGAAUUACUGGGCGUAAAGCGCGCGUAGGCGGUCUGAUAAGCCGGUUGUGAAAGCCCCGGGCUCAACCUGGGAACGGCAUCCGGAACUGUCAGGCUAGAGUGCAGGAGAGGAAGGUAGAAUUCCCGGUGUAGCGGUGAAAUGCGUAGAGAUCGGGAGGAAUACCAGUGGCGAAGGCGGCCUUCUGGACUGACACUGACGCUGAGGUGCGAAAGCGUGGGUAGCAAACAGGAUUAGAUACCCCAGUAGUC
rnacentral:rRNA from 1 species